GCUUCCCGCAAGCUCCGCCCCCUAAGGGGCGCGUCUCCCUCUAGUGGCCAUAAGGGGUCGCUGCAGAGUGCAAGUCUACAUCCACCCGCGCGGCUUCCUCCUCAUCGCCCCCAAGCUACGUGCUAAAAGCACUUGCAGGCUGCACUUGCCUAGGCAACCUGCUCCCUCCGUUUGUGGGAUUCUCGCUUUCUUUAUCUGCAAAAUACAAACAAGAGUCCCACCGUUCUUAAGAGCUAGUUUGGGAGUUCCUUAUAUUGGUUCAGAUACAGGGUUUUUCAGAUGAAAUUUCACUGGAAACUAAUUACUAAAUUUAAAUCUUAUUUACUUGUUUUGAGACAGGCUUUCUCUGAGUAGUCCUGGCUGCCUUGGAACUCACUCUGUAUAACCAGGGUGGCCUCGAACUCAGAGGUCCCCUGCACUUUGCCUCCCGAGUACUGAGAUUAAAGUCAUGAGUACCGCGCCCGGCACGACCUGUGUUUGAGACAGGACCUCCUCAUUAUAUGUCCCUGACUGGCCUGGAACUCGCUCUAUAGAGAGGGCUGGUUUUGAACACGUGGCUGUCUUCCUGUCUCUGCCUCCCUCUCCGGUGCUGGGAUUCCAGGCACGUGCCAUCGCAUCUGGCUUUUCUAUGCUCUUGAGCCUCUCUGCGUCUACUGUGCCUCCCUGGUGCCCCUCUGUGCUCUCUUCCCCCUCCUGGGAUGUCAUACAGGAAGCUUGAAACCAGCCACAAUAGAAGUAUUUACACGAAGGAAAUUGGCGUGUGCUACAGAUCAGACCUGCGUUCUGUCAGCGUCUGUGUUCAUGGAGCUGUGACACCAUUUGUCAAUGCCUGGUUGAUCUGAAAUCACAGAGGGGGAUAGAAGACUACAAGCAGGUGAUGGAGAGACGGCUCACCAUGCAAGCGAGAGGACUUCCAAGUAGACCACCAGCACCCACAGAAACAGUCACGCGCAGUGGUGUGCCUAUGUAAUUCCAGCACCGGGGACACCGAGACAGGAGGAUCCCUGAGGUUUGCUAGCAGUGAUCCUAGCAAAAUCAGUGAGAUCUCCAAGAUCAGCAAGAAACCCUGCCUCAAAAAGUAAGGUAUAGAAUAGCUGAGGAAGACAUCUAACAUUAACUCACUGACCUCUGGCAUCUGUAUCACACAAGGUGGGGGAUGGGGGGAAACAAGUACCCAGUUCCACCAGGGACCCCAGUAGUACCACCCUACUGUUGAUUUUCAGCCUUCAUUUGUCUUUUAUAUAAAUAUUCAUUUAGAAGCAUUGUUUGUGGAAAAUAAAUGGGAAGAUGCCCCCUCUUCACACAUGGGAAGAAUUAAUGUUGUUGAAAUGUGCACAUUAUUGGGGGUUGGAGAGAUGGCUCAGUGGUUAAGAGCACUGAUUGCUCUUCCAGAGGUCUUGAGUUCAAAUCCCAGCAACCACAUGGUAGCUCACAACCACCUGUAAUGAGAUCUGAUGCCCUCUUCUGGUGUGCCUGAAGACAGCUACAGUGUAGUUAUAAAUAAUAAAUAAAUCUU